GGAGGAUAUAUCGUACCCGGUGGCACGACUGAACUUCAAAUUCAGCAAGGGAAUUUUAAAGCUUUCCUAGGUAGGUUCGACUCCUGCUAUCCUCCGCCA
rnacentral:tRNA from 1 species